rnacentral:rRNA from 1 species
GCCUGGUUAUUCAUAACCCUUUGUUGAUCCGACUCUGUUGCCUCCGGGGCGACCCUGCCUUCGGGCGGGGGCUCCGGGUGGACACUUCAAACUCUUGCGUAACUUUGCAGUCUGAGUAAACUUAAUUAAUAAAUUAAAACUUUUAACAACGGAUCUCUUGGUUCUGGCAUCGAUGAAGAACGCAGCGAAAUGCGAUAAGUAAUGUGAAUUGCAGAAUUCAGUGAAUCAUCGAAUCUUUGAACGCACAUUGCGCCCCCUGGUAUUCCGGGGGGCAUGCCUGUUCGAGCGUCAUUUCACCACUCAAGCCUCGCUUGGUAUUGGGCAACGCGGUCCGCCGCGUGCCUCAAAUCGUCCGGCUGGGUCUUCUGUCCCCUAAGCGUUGUGGAAACUAUUCGCUAAAGGGUGUUCGGGAGGCUACGCCGUAAAACAACCCCAUUUCUAAGGUUGACCUCGGAUCAGGUAGGGAUACCCGCUGAACUUAAGCAUAUCAAUAAGCGGAGGAAAAGAAACCAACAGGGAUUGCUCUAGUAACGGCGAGUGAAGCAGCAAUAGCUCAAAUUUGAAAUCUGGCGUCUUCGACGUCCGAGUUGUAAUUUGUAGAGGAUGCUUCUGAGUGGCCACCGACCUAAGUUCCUUGGAACAGGACGUCAUAGAGGGUGAGAAUCCCGUAUGCGGUCGGAAAGGCGCUCUAUACGUAGCUCCUUCGACGAGUCGAGUUGUUUGGGAAUGCAGCUCUAAAUGGGAGGUAAAUUUCUUCUAAAGCUAAAUAUUGGCCAGAGACCGAUAGCGCACAAGUAGAGUGAUCGAAAGAUGAAAAGCACUUUGGAAAGAGAGUUAAAAAGCACGUGAAAUUGUUAAAAGGGAAGGGAUUGCAACCAGACUUGCUCGCGGUGUUCCGCCGGUCUUCUGACCGGUCUACUCGCCGCGUUGCAGGCCAGCAUCGUCUGGUGCCGCUGGAUAAGACUUGAGGAAUGUAGCUCCCUCGGGAGUGUUAUAGCCUCUUGUGAUGCAGCGAGCGCC